ACUAAUUAAAAAUAGAAGGUUUAUUAAUUAUUAUAAAAAAAUAUAUAAUUUUUUACGAUCCUAAUUUUUUAAAUUUGAAAUCUAAAAAUACAUUCUUAAAAUAUAGUACUACUAGUGCUUAAACAUUAUAAUAACUUGAGGGACAGUUGUUAAUCUCAAUUAUUGCCAAAUUAAUUGAUAUUUAAGAUUACUUGUUGCAUUCUUCUAAUGACUUUGCUUAGGCGAUUACUAUUUGGAGUUUACAAAAUAAAGAUUGAUGGGAGAAGUGUAGAUUGGAUUGGAUUUGAUUAGCAAUAGAUUUACACAAGACUAAUAUUGAUACAUAGCAGAAGGGAUUGUACAAAAAGGAAGAGGAGACAACAAAAUUGAGUGGCGGUGGCGCAUGUGUUAAGUUAACGGGGGAAGUGAGAAGGUGAGGAAGUGGAUCUGGCGGAGUUGGAGGUGCGAGAGAAGAUGGAAGCAACGGAGUUUGCGAGUCCCACCACAAUUCCCAUCUUGACCUGUCCCCUCUUUGGUAUUGGACGCCCACUCAACCUCCUUCUGUUGUUUGGAAUUUUCAUCAUCAUUGCUCCUGCCAUAUUCUUAAUUCACAAGAAGAAGAAGAUGCUUUGUGAUAACCGAUGAGUGAUGAGUGAUGAGUAACUCUGGCCUUUGACGUUUCCUUAUAUAGACGCUUCACCCUGGCCCCAGGGUUAGGAUUGGAAUUACAAUGGCUGCCACUGCAUGAUUUGACGGUUUUGACCUUGUCUUAUUUUGCUGCCACGUUUGUGGGACAGGACACAGCACCCACUAUGCUCUUCCUGCUUUCACGGGGACGGAAAGCCAAUUUUGAAUCGGG
rnacentral:lncRNA from 1 species